AGGAGGAUAGGGUAAGCGCGGUAUUGGAUAUCCGCGUCCAAGCAGUUAGGCUGGGAAAUAGGCAAAUCCGUUUCCCGUGAAGGCUGAGCUGUGAUGGCGAGCGAAAUUUAGUAGCGAAGUUCCUGAUUCCACACUGCCAAGAAAAGCCUCUAGCGAGGUGAGAGGUGCCCGUACCGCAAACCGACACAGGUAGGCGAGGAGAGAAUCCUAAGGUGAUCGAGAGAACUCUCGUUAAGGAACUCGGCAAAAUGACCCCGUAACUUCGGGAGAAGGGGUGCUUCUUAGGGUGUUAAAGCCCCGAGAAGCCGCAGUGAAUAGGCCCAGGCGACUGUUUAKCAAAAACACAGGUCYCUGCGAAGCCGUAAGGYGAWGUAUAGGGRCUGACGCCUGCCCGGUGCUGGAAGGUUAAGAGGAGCGCUUAGCGUAAGCGAAGGYGCGAAUUGAAGCCCCAGUAAACGGCGGCCGUAACUAUAACGGUCCUAAGGUAGCGAAAUUCCUUGUCGGGUAAGUUCCGACCCGCACGAAAGGCGCAACGAUCUGGGCACUGUCUCAACGAGAGACUCGGUGAAAUUAUAGUACCUGUGAAGAUGCAGGUUACCCGCGACAGGACGGAAAGACCCCGUGGAGCUUUACUGCAGCCUGAUAUUGAAUGUUGGUACAGCUUGUACAGGAUAGGUAGGAGCCUUGGAAACCGGAGCGCUAGCUUCGGUGGAGGCAUCGGUGGGAUACUACCCUGGCUGUAUUGACCUUCUAACCCGCUGCCCUUAUCGGGCAGGGAGACAGUGUCAGGUGGGCAGUUUGACUGGGGCGGUCGCCUCCUAAAAUGUAACGGAGGCGCCCAAAGGUUCCCUCAGAAUGGUUGGAAAUCAUUCGCAGAGUGUAACG
rnacentral:rRNA from 1 species